UACGUAGGGGGCAAGCGUUGUCCGGAAUCAUUGGGCGUAAAGAGCGUGUAGGCGGCUCGAUAAGUCUGCUGUGAAAAUCCGGGGCUCAACCCCGGACUUGCAGUGGGUACGGGCAGACUAGAGUGUGGUAGGGGAGACUGGAAUUCCUGGUGUAGCGGUGGAAUGCGCAGAUAUCAGGAGGAACACCGAUGGCGAAGGCAGGUCUCUGGGCCACUACUGACGCUGAGAAGCGAAAGCAUGGGGAGCGAACAGG
rnacentral:rRNA from 1 species